rnacentral:rRNA from 1 species
AUGCCCGCGCUGGAGAUACCAUUAGGGUCAUAUAAAAGCCGAACUCGAGGGAGAAACAAGCCCAGAUCUACACACCGCCGAGGCGCCGACCGCCCGGUGAGCCAUCCAUCAUCACUGCUCGGAUCCGAUGGACACGGGCAAUCCUCCUUGACGCUACCGCCGUCUCAGAAAGGCAUCCGAUCUCUCGGCUGUGACCGACGCCUCCUCAUGCUCCAAACGGGUAUCCCUCUAUAUAUCCUUGCAUCCUUCCAAAGAUCUGUGCUUGGAUCAUUCUCAAGCUCCCUAGGAUGCAUAGGAACAAGGAACACAACACUUGUGAUGACAGGAUCAGCACCUUACGUACCUGACGACAUGCUAAUCAUGAUCCUUGACAAGCUAGAUGCACGCACAACAAUAAUCACCACCAUCCUUUCCAAGCGAUGGCUGCAUCUUCCUCGUGGGUCGCACACAAGUUAUUUCCUUUCUGUUCAUCAACUCCUCCCUCCACGCUACUACAGGCUGAAACAAAUCCUGAUGGAUGUCAAGGCAGGGUACCAAGCAGACAAGAAGAACACGCAGAAUCUGACUGAUUUUGUUGCUGUCAGAGGUCGGUAUGAGCAGUGGAUGGGGAGGAUCCGUCGCCUCUCAUCCGUCCUGCAACGCUAUGAGCGUCGCGCCAUGCGAUGCUACAUUAAACGGGUGAAUGCAUUUCUUCUGGCUCCCAGGAACGUGCUCCGACGCAGGUCUGUCAAGAAGCUGAGGAUUGAAAGCUUUAGGACGAGUAGCGGUUGCAUUGAUCAAUGGAUUACUGCAGCGAUUGCCGGAUGCGGCGUCGAAGAUUUAGAGCUUGCCUUUGAAGGCUUCGGGUGUCAUCUCUACGACUUCCGGCUUUUGGAUGGAUUAUUGCAGAAUGUGCGGCUGAAGCGGCUUGUGCUAUCACGUUGUUUCCAUCAUUUUGCGUUCAACUCCUUGUUGUUCCACUCACUCACGGAGCUCACGCUGUGCAAGAUUUUGGAUCUUGGAAGCGUUGGCGAUGUUCUAACCAACUGUGUGAAGCUUGUGGACUUCAGGCUCAAGUAUUCUUGUGUCUACUAUCCUGUUUUACGAAUCUGUGCCCCGGCAUCGAAGUUAAAGAGACUACAAGUGGACAACUGCAAAUUAGGGAAAUUUUACCUUAAUGCGCUGCCUUUCCUUGAAACUUUUGCUUGUCGGGGUCAGCCAACCAAAAUAUAUUAUGGUGAGGUGCCUCGACUUAGGCAGGUGAGUUUGAACUUCUUCUUGCAAAUUGGAGAUAAUGGCAGAAUCCCUAGCAUCAGCUACUUUCCCUUACUUGAUUAUAGAAUGUUGGGCUGUGAAGAUGAUUCCUCUGGUAGCAACAUGACAUAUCCGCUGAGCAAAUUCUUCAAAGGGAUGCCGCUGCUGGAGAAGCUUAUGUGGAUUGAGCCAACCGCCAUUCCCAGUGCGUUCAGUCAUCUCAGGAAGCUUUUCAUUGCCAACGUGCCGAUAUAUUGGGACAUACUCUGGAUUUUCAUCCUACUAGAUGCCGCACCUUGUUUGGAGUCGCUCCAUGUUCAUAUUGACAAGAGCUCAGAGAACAUGGGUGCUGGACUAGAUGUGCAAGGGGAAGAGUACCAUCUCCUGAAGGAACUAGUGGUCAUUGGCUUCAACGGUGUUAGUUGGCAGACUUGUUUUGUGAAGCGGAUGAUGAGGGCGUUGCCAAGGCUGAUGCGCAUUCAUCUUCUCGACGGGCAUGUUGUGGAAGAUGACGACCAGGAGCUUGGGAGCCUUGAAAUAGUCCCACAUCGGCGUGAGUGGGAGGAAUGUGAGAAAUUAGAGGUGAUUGAUGAUCUUGUAGAUGGAUUUUCUUUGCACUACUGGGAAAUAAUUUUAGAAUGA